UCGCUUUUUCAGGGAGUGGUUGGAGGUCCUCAGAGUGGCGGGGAACCCCGUGUGGGAAGCUCAGAAUUGCCCAGCAAUGGUGCCCAGUGCCCAGUGCCUUGAGGACCCUCUGGAGUCAGUCAUGGGGGGAGGCCGGGUGAUGCAUAUCCUGAGCAUUAGCUCAUGUGUGUAAAUGAAAUGAUCGCUUGGGGACCCUGGACCACCCAACAGCCCCUAGUGGAUUCUGAAAUACCUCCAGACUUGGCAGGAAAUUGCUGUUGCUUAAGGCCCAUCACCCCCUUUUUAUUCCACACCCCCUGGGUCUCUCAGUGGUCAGUUGCCCAAAGCCAAUUCUAAAGUUGAAUACUUGGAGGGACCAGAGGUGUUCAGGAUCAGGAUAGAUGGAAGCUGUCUUCUCUGUCCCUCCUCAAAACCUUGUGGUCCUUCGGUCUUAAUAGAGAGCAAACUUUUUUUUUUUUCUUCCAGUUUCACUAAAAAGGGAGCACCAAUACUGGGCACUAAACACCAUCUCUAAAACAACUCUGAUUUACUAAUGUUAACCAUUUCAUCAUUGUUACUCCCAGAGGAUCAUUUUGCGAGAUAAGCAUUUUGGAUGACAGUGGCUUGAACUUGUGAAUUACAAUUAUUUGCCUUCACAGGCAGGAAAUGUCUUCUUUAGCACUUUUGGGAAUGCCAGCCGAAUUUUCCUCUUAGUGAAAGUUUUGCUCCUCUUUCAAAAACACGAUAUUUCUCAUGUGAAUCAUGCCUCUGAACUUUAUGCCUUUAAGCUUAAUUACAUAAUGACAUUUGUCCUCAGAGUAUUCAAAUGUUUAGAAAUAUGUUGAAGAACAGGACAGGGCAGAGAAGGCCCCAAACAUGAGUAUCAAGCACUAAAUAUUUAUUAGAACCACAUAGUCACAAAGGCACUAUAACGACAGCUUAUGAAUAGGCUGAGUGGAUUCUUACAUAGUCAGGCAAUUUCUACUUGGGGGUGAUUUUAACUUUUCUGUGAAAGUAACUUGGAUACUUUAGGAAGUUCGUUUGGUAAUGCUUUUCAGAUAUUACCCUCGUGGAUUAGGAUGAAGUGCUAAGUUCCAGAACAAUGACUGUCUUGUCAGUCCAAGGAAGUCAUUUGUCCUGGAUGAAAGUAGUCCAAGUUGUUAUUUUCCUUUUACAGUAGAAGGCUAAAAUAUAUUAGCAGUCGUGCGUAGGUGGGCUAACUGCUACUUAAGUCUUUGAUUAUUCCGAAAAUACCGUUGUAUUUGUGCAUUUUUAACGAGAACUUUUCGCUGCGUUGGUGGAGGACGUGAUCACACCUGAUAACAUAAUUUUACAUUUCCCAAAAGCGGGGGAGACUUUCUCUGCCGGCCAGUGGGAAGUUACAGUUGAAAUUUAUCCUGGUGAUCACCUAAGGCCGCUUCCUCCAGGUACCAAAGAGGAGCUGAGAGCAGAGACCAGAGCGAUUGCCUGCGGUUAACAAGUCCACCGGUGGUCAGCUCUCCUGAAUCCUGAAAACUUGACUCCUUCAGUCGGUGCUCAAUCGACAGCACCUCUUAAAAUCUAUCCAGUUUCGCAAAUGUCUGUCGAGGGCUGGCUACCAAGUGCUGUGUGAAGUUCUCCGGAGACACAUAAACGUGAAUAAGCCAUGAUUGACGUUCAGAGAGGCUCACGGUUCACAGAGGAGCCAAUUGUACCAGGAGCUGCUUGGACUACAGGCUGGAAAAUGCAAAUAUGGAGGGAAAAAGGCAAGAGAGUAACUAACCCCUGCGGGCGCUCUGAGCUAUGUAUUUCCAGGACAGCUUCAGUCCAUAGGACUUGUGUAUCCUUAAUCAUUUUGGAAACAUGAAAUGAGACUGCCUGAAUGACGAUUUGAUUCUACAUCGCAGGAAGAACCCUACCUGUCAAUCACCAUCAACUCAACUGAGCCUCCCACAGUUGCUGAAACACUCCAGAAUCCCAGCAAGAUUGCUACAUCUGGGGUGGGGGGGACGCUUGGGUAGCUCAGUUGGUUAAUUUUGGCUCAGGUCAUGAUCUCUUGGUUGUGAGUUCAAGCCCCGCAUGGGAUUCUCUCUCUCUCUCCCUCUGUCUCUCUCUUUGCCCCUCCCCUGCGCAUGUUCUCUCUGUCUCUCUAAAUAAAGAAAUACAUAUAAAAAUAAAAGAUUGUUACCUCUGAUCGCUGAAAAUAGGAGCAGAUGAGCCUCAGGCAACAGAAGAGACGGGGAAGUAGAAACUGAUUGAUUUAUCUAGUUCAGGGAACUGUUCCUUGACCACAUUUUCCUGCAUUCUUCCCAAAAGCUAGACUUUUGCUUUUGUUUUUCUCCUUUCGGGAUCUUCUUCCAACCCAUCUACACCCUUUGCAGUCUAGGUAAGUGAUGAAACCAUGAUUCCCCUUGUCCUUCAGGAAUGGGGGACAUCACAUUUUUAGAGAACAGAUCUGGGUAGGAAAGGAUAAAGUUGUCACUCAGUAAGACUCAAACCUGUGUUUGAAAUCAUCCUGUCAAGGGGAGUCCUCACCAGAUCUGCCCACAAAGGUUAUCACGUCCUUGACGGCCCAUGUCAGCUGAAGCCCAGAUGAUUCAGGGGACUCUGUUGAGUGAUACCUGAAAGGUUUCUUUUUGACUCAUUACUUUAGAAUUAUUUACCAGUCAUUGGAUGUGAAUUACUGAACACACACUGACAUGUGAUUGUGUAAUCUCUAGCCUGGUUCUCUGCAUCUCGGAUCUUCAUUUAUUUCUGCCACUGCAUCGAUCAAGUUGUCAUCAUUUCAUUCCACCUGGUAGUGUAUGAGGUGGCGUCCUUUGAGGAAAGUUGGAUGAGGAAAACGGUGCAGAUUAAAACGGAAAAGACUGGAGGCACUUUCAGAGGGAAACUGUCAGUCGGGGACGGCACAGAGAAAGCCUCUCGGGUGUAUUCCACAGAUAAACUCUAUGGAACCUGCAGAAAAUUUAAAAAUGACUUAAAAAAAUUGCUGAUGGAGGGUUAAACAGCAGACGAUCCCGUGGCCUCUCUGUUAGCUCCCAGCCAAACAGAUUACCCUCCAAGAAAUGCACAACGAUGUCUUCAGACUA